rnacentral:hammerhead_ribozyme from 1 species
UGACGAGUCCCAAAGAGGACGAAACGCGCGUC